GAGAGGACAAUGGACAGCAGAUGGUCAAGGGCUCAGAUUUCAGCAAUGCUCCAUCUCCAAACUCUACCAAACAAACACCUUCAUUUUCAAGUAUGUAGAUCCUGCAAGGAUGACUAACAGAAAAGGUGGUUCCAAACUGGAGCAUGACUAAAAAGUCAAUCACAUUCAGACCAAUGACUCACCAAGACCCUGGGGCUCCAGGGCGUGACUGACUUAUGGAGGACACCUGAGCACCCUCCUCAUUUUGACCAGUUCCUAGAUGCCUCAGAGGACACAUACACCAGACCACCAUCCUCAAUAAAAAUCCCAGACCCAAAGCAAAAA